rnacentral:lncRNA from 1 species
AGUUACAGAAAGAACCCACUGCAGGGCGUCCAGUCACUUGCCCAGUGAAAAGACUGUAAUCAGACAACUUUAAUAAAGGGAGAGCAGGAGAGUGGUGACGAAUUUCCACAUUCCGAACAAGCUUGUCGAAAGAGGAGUGCAGGGAAGGAGCAAGAAUGAGGCACUGGAAGACGGUGAGCGGGGCCUUGCCACAGAAUCCCGGGCCCACCUGCUUUCUCACAGUCGCGACAGCCGGCCCGGAGAAGGGCAGCCCAGCGAAGGGCACGCCCCGCGCGGGUGCCAGGGAGGCCGGCAGGGGCGUCCGCGGUCGCUGCUCACCUGCGCUCCCCGCUGCCCGGCCCAGCCCGCCUCGCCACCGAGUCUGGAAGCCCACACUCACCCCUUUACCCGGGAAACGCGGCCGGAGCCGGCGGCGGGUCGGGAGUCCGAGAUGGUAGAUCCCCCUCCAGGCGCCUCGCUGACAUUUUGUCCCGGACGGAAAACCUCCGCGCGUGCCCCUUAAAGACACAGCGCUGCAUUCACACGUCUGCGGGGAAAGGGGGGCCGUCACGUGUGGCCUUCGCCCGAAAGCGGUAGGGGAGUCGCUCUGAAACCGCCAAGGAUCGCGAGCGACAGAUUUGUGUUGGCCAGGGUUUUAAGAUGACGCAAUAGCUGAGUGUGGUUGAAAUGUAACUAUUGUUUUACAACUUUGCAUUAACCUUCCAAGACCUGAAUUCCCGGGCCUGAGUCUCAGAGCGCGGUUUGCAUCUUUGCAGGCUGUAGGCGCAUGAUGUCACAAGUUAUUGGAAGAAAUCCCUCCAACCUAGGUUGGGACAGAUGAAGGCGGCGCUUAUUGGUGUUCACCAAAACACCAGCAUGGUGUACCAGCUUUGGCUAGAUGAUGCUCAGGAAAACACAGAUCCUGGUGCCGAACAUGAGGACAGGGCAGGCCGAAGGAGAAAGUGGAAGGAGGGGAGCUUCUCUCUCAGCCUCAUCCUUCUGGGCCUGGAUGCUGGAGAGUCAUGAGGUGCUUCAGAGUACUCUGGGUGAGGAGGGAAAGAUGGUGCCCACCACAUGGAGGCCAGCCUAGGUCUUGUAUGAAACCUGUGAGCAGGAGCCAGGCCGUGGCCUGCUGACUGCAUCUGCCAGAUGACUACCAAUGUGUGAGUAAACCCAUUCUCAAGCCCAAGAGAACCUCUCAGCUGAACCAGGCCCAAGUUGCUCACCCACUGAACUGCCAGUUAAAUAAAUGGUGGUUGUUUUAAUCCACUAAAUGCUGGGAUGGUUUGUUAUACAGCAGUAGGUAUCAAUACAGUGUACUUGUCAAUCUAGGAAUUCCUGUCUUGUCAAAUCUGAGAAAAUUCUCGGUCACUGUCACUUCAAAUAUUACUUCUUUCCCAUUUUCUAUUCACUCAUUCCAAAACUCCUAGUGGAUGUCUUUUCUGUCAUUUCUGGUUCUGUCUUUUGUGAUCUUAAACUUUCAUUCAUUGUUUUUCCAUUUUUACUUCCGUGUUACAUUUUGAGUCAUUUCCUUAGUUCCAGUUUGCUUAUUUUCU